rnacentral:lncRNA from 1 species
AGAAAAUGGGGUGCUUGGCAGACAACGGAUCCUCAAAGAGACAUUUGCUCAUUAUUAGGAGGGAAGAUUAGGGACACUGGUGGAAAGGGACCAGCAUCUCAGGGUUUCUGCCCAUGAGUCAGUGAAAUGAGGUCAUGUUUCAGAGUAACGGUGAUGCCUCUUGGUCUGUUCUGAGGGGAACUGGUUCAAUGAUUUGUGGAAGAGAAUGAAACCCAUUACUGCUAUAUCCGUGUUUAUGUCCAGCUCCACUGCAAGGUCAUUGUUCCAUUUGCCUGUGAAAGUCACGAAAACAACACGUCUGGCCUACCUCAGCGUUUAGCAAUGUGCUUGGUACUAACAAGAUAAUCAAUGCUUGUUGAAUUGAAUUUCACCUGCGCACUCCUUAAGAUGAAUACUUUUUGUGUCAUUUUGAAGCUCUCAAGAUUGUACAAUGUACAGUCUAUUUAGUGACAGCUUUCAAUUUUGCUAAAAGGAUUUGGGGAAGAGCACUCUAUUCAAUGUAUUCUUCAAUUGUGAGAUAAAUCC